ACCAAGGCGACGAUUAGUAGCUGGUUUGAGAGGAUGAUCAGCCACACCGGAACUGAGACACGGUCCGGACUCCUACGGGAGGCAGCAGUGAGGAAUUUUGGGCAAUGGGGGCAACCCUGACCCAGCGACGCCGCGUGCAGGAUGACAGCCCUUCGGGUUGUAAACUGCUUUCGGGUAGGAAGAAAAGCCGGGUAUCCCGGCCGGGACAGUACUGCCAGAAGAAGCACCGGCAAACUACGUGCCAGCAGCCGCGGUAAUACGUAGGGUGCGAGCGUUAUCCGGAAUUACUGGGUAUAAAGGGUGCGUAGGCGGGCUUGUGCGUCGAUGGUUAAAGACCGGGGCUUAACUCCGGGAAUGUCAUCGAUACGGCAGGUCUUGAAUGUGAGAGAGGAUGAUGGAAUUCCUGGUGUAGCGGUGAAAUGCGUAGAUAUCAGGAGGAACACCGGUAGCGAAGGCGGUCAUCCGGCUCAUUAUUGACGCUGAGGCACGAAAGCGUGGGGAGCGAACAGGAUUAGAUACCCUGGUAGUCCACGCCAUAAACGAUGUAUGCUUGGUGUUCCCCCUUGUGGGGAGUGCCGGAGGAAAUCCGUUAAGCAUACCAACUGGGGAGUACGAUCGCAAGGUUGAAACUCAAAGGAAUUGACGGGGGGCCCGCACUAGCGGUGGAUUAUGUGGUUUAAUUCGAUGCAACGCGAAGAUCCUUACCUGGGCUUAAAGUGACAGCUUAUUUACUCGAAAAGGUGGAGUGCUUCGGCCGCUGUUACAGGUGCUGCAUGGCUGUCGUCAGGUUGUGGCCGUGAUGUGUUGGGGUUAAGUCCCGCAACGAGCGCAACCCCUAUCCCCAGUUACCAUCGGUUCGGCUCGGGUACUUCUGUGGAGACUUGGCCGCGGCAAGCGGAGAGGAAGGUGGGGAUGACGUCAAGUCAUCAUGGCCCUUAUGUCCGGGGCUACACACGUAAUACAAUGGUUGGUACAGUAGGCGAAACCGCGAGGCGAAGAUGAUCCCUNAAGCCAAUCUCAGUUCGGAUUGUAGUCUGCAACUCGACUACAUGAAGCUGGAAUCGCUUCUCAUCGUAGAUCAGCACGCUACGGUGAUACGUUCCCGGGCCUUGUACACACCGCCCGUCAAGCCACGGA
rnacentral:rRNA from 1 species